GACGAACGCUGGCGGCGUGCCUAACACAUGCAAGUCGAACGGUAAGGCCCUGCCUUUCUUGUCUGGUUGAGUUGCGAACGGGUGAGUAACACGUGGGUAACCUGCCCUUUACUUGGGGAUAACUUUUGGAAACGAUGGCUAAUACCGCAUAAGAGUAGCUGUUGCAUGACGUGGGCUGGAAAGUUUCGGUGGCUGGGCUUGGACGCGCGGCUGCUCAGCUUGUUGGUGUGGUUGUGGCAUCGCAAGGCCAUGACGGGGAGCCGUCCUGGGAGGGAGACGGGCCACAGAGGGACUGAGAUGCGGCCCAGACUGCUACGGGAGGAAGAAGUGGGAAAUAUAGCGCGAUGGGCGGAAGCCUGAUGGAGCAACGCCGCGUGCGGGAGGACGGCCGUCGGGGUGUAAACCGCGUUCGCCUGUGACGAAGCGUGAGUGACGGUAAUGGGUAAAGAAGCACCGGCUAACUACGUG
rnacentral:rRNA from 1 species